AUCCCCCUCCACCUGCACCAAAAAAGGUAUAGCUUGCUGUGGAACCCACCCUCCCUUCUCUCUCUUUUCCUCCGUUUUUUCUCCCGAUUCCACCUCCCCUUCCGUCCACCAUUAGAGGAGAAUCUCGAGCUCCAAGGUAUCGCCAUGACGAAAUAGAAUGUGGUGAUGUCGGAGGCCAUGGCCAUCUCGGUGGCUGUCGUGUCGCCGCUCUUCUCCUACCCUCCGCGCGCAGCGGCUGCGGUGCCAGUGGUACCGGCGGUUUGCCCGGAAGAAAAAAGUCUCUCCCAGCUGGACCUAGGCGGGUGGGUUAAGUCCAUGAAGGCUUCCUCCCCUACCCACGCCAAGGUCGCCACUACCUCGCUGCCGCCCCUUCCAUCGGCGCCCAGGACGAACACGCCACCUAGAUUAUGCGGCACCCUUCGGCUCUUAGUAAAUUUGAGCAGAUCAUUAGCGCUUCUAAAGGGAAGCAGAUUAUGAUGUUCUUGGACUAGGAUGAGUUGCCCCCUGUUUUUCCUCUGUUUCUAUGGUCCAAUCCGUUAAUUGAUUCUGGUCUAUUGUUAAAGAGGGGAUUUUGAUGGGCGGUCCGACGCCGCUGGUUCACCCCAAAUAAUCGCGAUCGGCUGUUUUUUCUCUUUUCCAGCGGCGAUUUACCUUUUCCUCCAUCAAUGUAUGCCGACGUGUCGAAAUUUGGUUGAGCUGGUCCAAAUUUGACGUGGUGGACCUAGUUCAACCAAUAAUUUUUCCACAAACACUUUGAUCCAUUGAUUUGGUGCGUUUGUAUGGAUAUGACCUGAUGCGGAUUGGGGUUCUCAGUGACGUGGGUCCAGCAGGAACCGAUAUUCCAGUAAUGCUUGUAGAGUUGGUUGGGUGGAAGACUUGACUGAGAGCUCACCUUCCAUCCGUUCUCUUUGUUUUA